GACGAACGCUGACGGCGUGCUUAACACAUGCAAGUCGAAGGGAGGGGCGAAAGGGGGAGGAACACGUGAGUAACCUGCACUUUUAUUUUGGAUAAGACUGGGAAACUGGGGCUAAUAAUGGAUGGUUUGGGGUGGUCUUGUGUCUUAUCAGCUUUGUGGUGGGGGGAUGGCUUACAAAGGCAUUGACGGGUAGCCGGGCUGCGAGGGUGGUCCGCCACACUGAGACUGAGAUACGGCCCAGCGUCGUACGGGAGGCAGCAGUGGUGGAUAUUGCACAAUGGAUGAAAGUCUGAUGCAGCGACGUCGUAUGAGGGAUGAAGGCCUUCGGGUUGUAAACGCCUUUCGCCCUCGGAAUGGUAGUGGGUAAAGAAGCGCCGGCUAACUACGUGCCAGCAGCCGCGGUAAUUC
rnacentral:rRNA from 1 species